rnacentral:rRNA from 1 species
AUUGAACGCUGGCGGAAUGCUUUACACAUGCAAGUCGAGCGGCAGCGCGGUCUUCGGACUGGCGGCGAGUGGCGAACGGGUGAGUAAUACAUCGGAACAUGCCCAGUCGUGGGGGAUAACACUUCGAAAGAAGUGCUAAUACCGCAUACGUCCUGAGGGAGAAAGCGGGGGAUCGCAAGACCUCGCGCGAUUGGAGUGGCCGAUGUCAGAUUAGCUAGUUGGUGGGGUAAAGGCCUACCAAGGCAACGAUCUGUAGCUGGUCUGAGAGGAUGAUCAGCCACACUGGGACUGAGACACGGCCCAGACUCCUACGGGAGGCAGCAGUGGGGAAUUUUGGCACAAUGGGGGUCAACCCUGAUCCAGCCAUUCCGCGUGAGUGAAGAAGGCCUCGGGUUGUAAAGCUCUUUCGGCAGGAACGAAACGGCGAGCUCUAACAUAGCUCGCUAAUGACGGUACCUGAAGAAGAAGCACCGGCUAACUACGUGCCAGCAGCCGCGGUAAUACGUAGGGUGCGAGCGUUAAUCGGAAUUACUGGGCGUAGAGCGUGCGCAGGCGGUUGUGUAAAGACAGGUGUGAAAAUCCCCGGGCCUAACCUGGGAACUGCGCUUGUGACUGCACGGCUAGAGUAUGGCAGAGGGGGGUUGGAAUUCCACGUGUAGCAGUGAAAUGCGUAGAGAUGUGGAGGAACACGAUGCGAAGGCAGCCCCCUGGG